rnacentral:rRNA from 1 species
GGCCCCUUCGGGGGCCGAGUAGAGUGGCGUCCGGGUGAGUAACACGUAGGUAAUCUACCUCUGGGUGGGGAAUAACGACCGGAAACGGUCGCUAAUACCGCAUAAUACAGCGGCACCACAUGGUGACAGCUGUUAAAGCGGGGGAUCGCAAGACCUCGCGCCUAGAGAGGAGCCUGCGGCGGAUUAGCUAGUUGGCAGGGUAACGGCCUACCAAGGCAACGAUCCGUAGCCGGCCUGAGAGGGCGGUCGGCCACACUGGCACUGACACACGGGCCAGACUCCUACGGGAGGCAGCAGUCGGGAAUUUUGGGCAAUGGGCGAAAGCCUGACCCAGCAACGCCGCGUGAAGGAUGAAGCUUUUCGGAGUGUAAACUUCAUAAGAAUGGGACGAAUAAGGAGGGGUUAAUACCCCCUUUGAUGACGGUACCAUUUGUAAGCUCCGGCUAACUCCGUGCCAGCAGCCGCGGUAAUACGGGGGGAGCAAGCGUUGUUCGGAUUUACUGGGCGUAAAGGGCGCGUAGGCGGCGCACAAGUCACUUGUGAAAUCUCCGGGCUUAACCCGG